AACGAACGCUGGCGGCAGGCUUAACACAUGCAAGUCGAUCGCCCCGCAAGGGGAGCGGCAGACGGGGGAGUAACGCGUGGGAACCUACCUGAAGGUACGGAACAACUCCGGGAAACUGGAGCUAAUACCGUAUGUGCCCGGAAGGGGAAAGAUUCAUCGACUUCAGAUGGGGCCGCGUCAGAUUAUCUAGUUGGUGGGGGAAUGGCCCACCAAGGCGACGAUCUGUAGCUGGUCUGAGAGGCUGAUCAGACACACUGGGACUGAGACACGGCCCAGACUCGUACGGGAGGCAGCAGUGGGGAAUAUUGGACAAUGGGCGGAAGCCUGAUCCAGCCAUGCCGCGUGAGUGAUGACGGCCUUAGGGUUGUAAAGCUCUUUCGACGGGGACGAUAAUGACGGUACCCGUAGAAGAAGCCCCGGCUAACUUCGUGCCAGCCGCCGCGGUAAUAC
rnacentral:rRNA from 1 species